rnacentral:rRNA from 1 species
UACGAGGGGUGCAAACGUUAUUCGGAUUUACUGGGUGUAAAGGGUGUGUAGACGGUCUGUUAAGUUCGUUGUUAAAUUUUCCGGCCUAACUGGAAGCUUGCGAUGAAAACUGGCGGACUAGAGGGUGAAAGAGAGAAGUGGAAUUCUCGGAGUAGCGGUAAAAUGCGUAGAUCUCGAGAGGAACACCGAUGGCGAAAGCAGCUUCUUGGUUCACAUCUGACGUUGAAACACGAAAGCGUGGGGAGCAAACAGG